rnacentral:rRNA from 1 species
GUGGGGAAUAUUGGACAAUGGGCGCAAGCCUGAUCCAGCCAUGCCGCGUGUGUGAAGAAGGCCUUUUGGUUGUAAAGCACUUUAAGCGAGGAGGAGGCUACUUGGAUUAAUACUCUAGGAUAGUGGACGUUACUCGCAGAAUAAGCACCGGCUAACUCUGUGCCAGCAGCCGCGGUAAUACAGAGGGUGCGAGCGUUAAUCGGAUUUACUGGGCGUAAAGCGUGCGUAGGCGGCUUCUUAAGUCGGAUGUGAAAUCCCUGAGCUUAACUUAGGAAUUGCAUUCGAUACUGGGAAGCUAGAGUAUGGGAGAGGAUGGUAGAAUUCCAGGUGUAGCGGUGAAAUGCGUAGAGAUCUGGAGGAAUACCGAUGGCGAAGGCAGCCAUCUGGCCUAAUACUGACGCUGAGGUACGAAAGCAUGGGGAGCAAACAGGAUUAGAUACCCUUGUAGUCC